UACGGGGGGAGCAAGCGUUGUUCGGAUUUACUGGGCGUAAAGGGCGCGUAGGCGGUCACGACAAGUCAGUUGUGAAAUCUCCGGGCUUAACUCGGAACGGUCAACUGAUACUGUCGGACUGGAGUGCAGAAGGGGCAACUGGAAUUCUCGGUGUAGCGGUGAAAUGCGUAGAUAUCGGGAGGAACACCUGUGGCGAAAGCGGCGCACUGGACCAUAACUGACGCUGAGGCGCGAAAGCUAGGGGAGCAAACAGG
rnacentral:rRNA from 1 species